UAGGGAUAAUUUAAAAGAAAAUAAAGUAAAUUAAAUGAAAAUGGGAGCAAAUUGCGCCGCAAUACAAGUACGAGGGACCAGACGCGAAAUAAACCAAUUUAGGCGCAAACGCACCAAUUCGGAGCCCCAGGCGGGUUAACGCGCGGACCUUGGCUCCUUCCCCUGUGCGGCGUCGUUUUAAUUGGCUACUACACUUCCCCUUUUAAUUGUUUUGCCUUCCAAAACACAGCAAACUUUUUAGCCCAAAAAAAAAUGCUAUCAGCCCCUUUUUCUUAGGUUUCGCAUAACACAUUGCUACCGCCAUCAAGCCCUCAAGCCAUGAAGUCGAUUUAGCCUCGAACUUCUUUCUCUAACUCCGAUUUCAACGAAGCAAAGAAAGAUUCAUGGCAACUUUACAAAGUACAGAAUGAGGCUUUUAUAGCCUGGAUUUACAGAGAAAAUAGUAAAAAGAAAAAAAUAUUUUUCUUGCUGUCAUCUGCCCAUUUCUGUUAUUCCUUUCUUUCUGGUGUAUUCUCUUUGCAGGAACGGUUGUACGGAGGAGCGACCCUGGUGACGUGGAGACCAAUCGUCAAAAAUUUUUUUACACGAGACUGACCUUUCGGUGACCUUCUGGUUUACUCCAGAAGCUUCCAGCAUCCUCAAGAUACUGAUACAAUUUUUCUUGCAUAUUGGGCUUCGGUUUUGGGCCGGAUUUAAGAUGUGGAUUGAUUUCAUUGGGCUUUAGAAUUUGGGCCAAAUAUUAUGUAAUUAGGGCUAAAGAACUUUGGGGUAUUUGGUUAAGAAAUGGGCUUAUUGUAAUUGGGUUUUAAUUUUUAUGUAAAGGGUUUUGGGGUAUUUAUUUAAUUGGGUUGGAUAUUUGUAAA